UACGGGAGGCAGCAGUGGGGAAUAUUGCACAAUGGGCGAAAGCCUGAUGCAGCUAUGCCGCGUGUAUGAAGAAGGCCUUAGGGUUGUAAAGUACUUUCAUCGGGGAGGAAAAACAAAACUAAUAAUUUUAUUUCUUGACGUUACCCGAAAAAGAAGCACCGGCUAACUCCGUGCCAGCAGCCGCGGUAAUACGGAGGGUGCUAGCGUUAAUCAGAAUUACUGGGCGUAAAGAGCACGUAGGUGGUUUUUUUAAAGUCAGAUGUGAAAUCCCUGGGCUUAACCUGGAACUGCAUUUUGAAACUGAAAUACUAGAGUAUCGUAGAGGGAGGUAGAAUUCUAGGUGUAGCGGUGAAAUGCGUAGAUAUCUGGAGGAAUACCUGUGGCGAAAGCGGCCUCCUAAACGAAUACUGACACUGAGGUGCGAAAGCGUGGGGAGCAAACAGGAUUAGAUACC
rnacentral:rRNA from 1 species